rnacentral:rRNA from 1 species
GACGAACGCUGGCGGCGUGCUUAACACAUGCAAGUCGAACGGAAAGGCCCCUUCGGGGGUACUCGAGUGGCGAACGGGUGAGUAACACGUGAGUAACCUGCCCUUGACUUCGGGAUAACUUCAGGAAACUGAGGCUAAUACCGGAUAGGAAUCCUUGCUGCAUGGUGGGGGUUGGAAAGCUUCGGCGGUUUUGGAUGGACUCGCGGCUUAUCAGCUUGUUGGUGGGGUAGUGGCUUACCAAGGCUUUGACGGGUAGCCGGCCUGAGAGGGCGACCGGCCACAUUGGGACUGAGAUACGGCCCAGACUCCUACGGGAGGCAGCAGUGGGGAAUAUUGCACAAUGGGCGGAAGCCUGAUGCAGCAACGCCGCGUGCGGGAUGACGGCCUUCGGGUUGUAAACCGCUUUCAGCAGGGGCGAAGCUUGUGGUGACGGUACCUGCAGAAGAAGCACCGGCUAACUACGUG